GAAAGAAGCCAGCAGGGGAGCUAUGCCCUGCAAAGCCACAGGGGUGGAGCUGCCUACGACUAUGGGAACACACCUCUUGCAUCACUGUGACUUGGAUAUGAGACAUGGAGUCAAAGGAAAUCACUUUGGAGCUUCAAAAUUUGACUGCCCCGCUGGAUUUUGGACUUGCAUGGGUCCUGUAACCCCUUUGUUUUGGCCAAUUUCUCCCAUUUGGAAUGGCCGUAUUCACCCAAUACCUGUACCCCCAUUGUAUCUAGGAAGUAACUAACUUGCUUUUGAUUUUACAGGCUCAUAGGUGGAAGGGCCUUGCCUUGUCUCAGAUUAGACUUUGGACUCUGGAUUUGGGUUAAUGCUGAAAUGAGUUAAGAAUUUGGGGGACUGUUGGGAAGUCAUGAUUGGUUUUGAAAUGUGAGGACAUGAGAUUUGAAGGGGCCAGGGGCAGAAUGAUAUCGUUUGGCUCUGUGUCUCCACCCAAAUCUCAUCUUGAACUGUACUCCCUUAAUUCCCACAUUUUGUGGGAGGGACCCAGUGGGAGAGAAUCUGAAUCAUGGGGGCAGUUUCCCCCACACUGUUCUCAUGGUAGUGAAUAAGUCUCACAAGAUCUGAUGGUUUUAUCGGGGGUUUCUGCUUUUGCAUCUCUGUCAUUUUUCUCUUGCCGCCACCAUGAAAGUGCCUUUUGGUGGGAGGCCUCCCCAGCCAUGUGGGAGGCUGAGGCCUCCCCAGCCAUGUGGAACUGUAAAUCCAAUUAAACCUCUUUUUCUUCCCAGUCUUGGGGAUGUCUUUAUCAGCAGCGUGAAAACAGGCUAACACAGGGUCUCGCUGUGUUACCCUGGCUGGAGUGCACUGGCAGUCAUAGCUCCCUGCAGCCUGGAAUCCUGGCCUCAAGCAAUCCUCCUGCCUCUGCCUCCCAGCCAGCUGGGACCACAGGCAGGAGCCAAGUGCACCCAGCUCUAACUGCCAUAUUAUUUAUCACCGCAUGAUUUAUAAAAGCCAGGUCCAGUAGAAAAACAGAUGAUGUUUUAUAAGAAAUAAAUCAUUUAAAUUUCCUAAAUGUACCACAAUGAACGUAUGUCGUGUUGUAGAAGAAAAUUUUCAUGUGGGAGUCAUACUUACUUUUUUGAAAAGGAGGGCAAGGUCCUUGCACAGAAAAUGUUUAUACACCACCGUCACAGAGCGGAUUUUACUACAGGCGUCUCUCUAGAUAACAUCUCAAUAUAGAUGGGGUGAUGGGUGUGUCCUGGGGCCAUGAGAAGCCUCCUGCAGCUCAGCACUUCCGGACUCCUAGGAACUUCCAGUCCCAGAAGGCAGGGGGAGAGGCCUGGCGGGAGCGGAGGGACACAGCUGCUCCUGCAUCCCAGGCUGAGCUGCUCCAUACAGGGCAAGGAAGCAGCUAAGGGGUUGGAGUCGGCCAUCCUGGCCUCAUCUCCAGGGUCCUGGCCACACAAAGUCAACACAAAGGUAACCCCAAAUAAGAACAUGUCCAUGCAAAGGUACAUGGGUCAAUGCACCUUUAAAACUAAAACCAAAGAGGCUUCUGCUUGCAUAGGGUGGACUGGGACCUUCACUCAUGUCCCCUCCUUCUGGUGACCAAACCAAGGCUAAGGGAGUAUUGAAACUUCCCACCUCACAGGCCAGGUGCAGUGGCUGAACACAAUUAUUAAAUGAAAAGAGCAAAGUUUCUCCCGCUCUUUCUUACCUUCAAACCAAACCAAAAAAGUAGUUUUCACGGGAAAGAGCACCUACUUCAGGGAGACUCAAUUUUUAACCAGUUUUAUUUAUAUUCAUUUAUUUAUUUAUUUAUUUAUUUAUUUAUUUAUUUUUGAGAUAGCGUCUAGCUCUGUCACCCAGGCUGGAGUGCAGUGGUGUGAACUCGGCUCACUGCAACCUCAGUCUCCCCAGUUCAAGCGAUUCUCGUGCCUCAGCCUCCUCCCCAGUAGCUGGGACUACAGGUGCCCACCACCACACCUGGCUAGUUUUUGUAAUUUUAGUAGAGACGGGGUUUCGCCAUGUUGGCCAGGAUUGUCUCGAACUCCUGACCUCAAGUGACCUAUCCGCCACGGCCUCCCAAAGUGCUGGGAUUACAGGCGUGAACCACCGUGCCUGGCUGUUAACUAGUUUUAUUAAACCCUACAAGCUCUAAAACACGAGACAAGGCUUUCCAGAGUAAAUAGGAUGAUAAAAAGUUAAAAUUCCCUGGAAGAGUCUGUUUUCACCAACUUGCAAGAAGUGAAAGAGCCGAUUUCUUUCUGUUUAUUCUUUAAAAGGUUUGGCCUGCACCCUCAGUGCACACUGUGGAAG
rnacentral:lncRNA from 1 species